rnacentral:rRNA from 1 species
UCCACGCCCUAAACGAUGUAUGCUUGGUGUUGGGAGUUCUGCUCUCAGUGCCGGAGGUAACCCGUUAAGCAUACCACCUGGGGAGUACGAUCGCAAGGUUGAAACUCAAAGGAAUUGACGGAGGCCCGCACAAGCGGUGGAUCAUGUGGUUUAAUUCGAUGCAACGCGAAGAACCUUACCCGGGCUUGAAGUGUAGGUAGUAAAGAGACGAAAGUCGAAUGAACCGUUAAGCCGGUUGCCUACAGAGGUGCUGCAUGGCUGUCGUCAGCUCGUGCCGUGAGGUGUUGGGUUAAGUCCCG